GAGAGAGACAUGCGCGCAUAUCAAUAAGCGGAGGAAAAGAAACUAACAAGGAUUCCCUUAGUAACGGCGAGUGAAGCGGGAAGAGCUCAAAUUUGAAAUCUUCAAGGUUCUACCUUGACGAAUUGUAGUUUAUAGAAGUGUUUUCUGUUAGUGGAGUGGCAAAAGUUCUUUGGAAUAGGACAUCAUAGAGGGUGAGAAUCCCGUAUUUGGUCAUUCCUCCUAGCGUUGUGAUACACUUUCAACGAGUCGGAUUGUUUGGGAAUGCAGUCCAAAAUGGGUGGUAAAUUCCAUCUAAAACUAAAUAUUGGCGAGAGACCGAUAGCGAACAAGUACCGUGAGGGAAAGAUGAAAAGAACUUUGAAAAGAGAGUUAAACAGUACGUGAAAUUGUCAAAAGGGAAGCGUUUGACACCAGUGUUGUUUUUCCGAAAAUCAAUUACGAAUGUUUUAUUUUUGAGGAGUUAUGACUUCAUCGGCUUGCUCCUUUCUUUAUGAAACUUUCUUAAUGCACUUUUCGGUUAACAAGUCAACAUCAAUUUCUUUUGUUGUAAAAGGGUAUGAGGAAGGUGGCUUUCUUUUCGGAGAAAGUGUUUAUAGCCUUGUGCCUCUGCAAUCGGAGAGAUUGAGGUCUGCAGCGUAGAUCCUUCGGGGUUAGAUACGUUUGUGCUAAGUUAUAGCUUUUCAUAGACAACUUGUUGACUAUGUUUAGUCUUGUAGCUUACUCGCUGACGCUAUUUUACCUACGCUUAGGAUGUUGAUAGUCACAGCGUGUAC
rnacentral:rRNA from 1 species